UUUCAAAAUAUCAAAUCCAUCUGAUGGAUUACCCUGGCCAAGGUUUUGCUAAAUUGAAAUACAGUGACUCAUUCUUCUCCAACUCUUGGAGUGGUCAAUCCCAUCUCGAUCACACUCUGACUUCGCAAGUACUUGACUGUGCCCAGAAGCCUUCCAUCAUUGAAUUAGAAAUUCAGUUAGUCCAGUACCAAAGCACAGUGAGUUGCUUGUAAGUCACUGAGGCGAUCUCAGGUCUAAGGGAUACUUAUACCUAUAUCCCAUCA
rnacentral:lncRNA from 1 species